rnacentral:rRNA from 1 species
UACGUACUGUGCGAACGUUAUUCGGAAUCACUGGGCUUAAAGGGUGUGUAGGCGGCUAGCUAAGUAGGGUGUGAAAGGCCUCGGCCUAACCGAGGCAUUGCGCUCUAAACUGACUGGCUUGAGUAAGAUAGGGGUGUGCGGAACUUCCAGUGGAGCGGUGAAAUGUGUUGAUAUUGGAAGGAACGCCGGUGGCGAAAGCGGCACACUGGGUCUUGACUGACGCUGAGACACGAAAGCCAGGGUAGCGAACGGGAUUAGAUACCCCGGUAGUCCUGGCUGUAAACGAUGAGCACUAGUUGGGAGGGGCUUCGGCCCAUCCGAACGCAGCGAAAGCAUUAAGUGCUCCGCCUGGGGAGUAUGGUCGCAAGGCUGAA